rnacentral:pre_miRNA from 1 species
AUAUGAAUCAUCUAGUGAUCUUAAUAUGUUACAGAUUCUGCUUUGGCAGGUCUAGAGUGAGCCUGGAAUUCUGCAAUCCUAAUAAGCUCCCAUGUGCUGCUACU